rnacentral:rRNA from 1 species
GACGAACGCUGGCGGCGUGCUUAACACAUGCAAGUCGAACGAUGAAGCGCUGUCUUUUUGGUGGUGUGGAUUAGUGGCGAACGGGUGAGUAAUACGCGGGCAACCUGCCCCUCUGCUUCGGGAUAAGCUUUGGAAACGGGGUCUAAUACCGGAUGUGCCUGUCUGGUCGCAUGGCUGGGCGGGGAAAGAUGUUUUUCGGCGGGGGAUGGGCUCGCGGCCUAUCAGCUUGUUGGUGGGGUGACGGCCUACCAAGGCGUCGACGGGUAGCCGGCCUGAGAGGGUGGUCGGCCACACUGGGACUGAGAUACGGCCCAGACUCCUACGGGAGGCAGCAGUGGGGGAUAUUGCACAAUGGGCGCAAGCCUGAUGCAGCGACGCCGCGUGGGGGAUGGAGGCUUUCGGGUUGUAAACCCCUUUCGGCGCGGGACAAGGCUCCGUUGGC